GGAAGUUGUUCCUAGUGGUAGAGCAUCUAUUUUGAUUUCAGAAGGUCCCGGGUUCAAGCCCCAGCAUCUCCA